UAGCACUCCACAAUUAGAAAAUAAAAUUAAAAAUGAGCCCCAAAAUGUUUUAUCAUCUUCUUUUCCUGGAUUUCUAAUACAUUAACCUAACUGUUUGUGUUGUACAUGUGCAUAUGUAUGUAAUCAGUAUCUUCCAUAGAUUCAAUUUUUCAAAGUUAAAAGGGUGAAAAUUAAUUCCUUGUAUGUGUAUCCAUGGCAACAUUCAGCAUUUAUUUACCAUAAAAUAUUGCAAAAAGGGGGGUGAACAUGUCAUAUAUCCCCCCAAAAUUUGGAUCAAACUAGAAUUUCAAUGCCUUUGAGUGAUACCUUUUUAGAAACUGUUUUCUUAAAUCUUCCUAAUUAUCAAAUAAAAAAUGGGUGUCUUUCGCCUCAUUUUUUCGUAAAAUCAAAUCACAAAGUUCGUGCGAUAAAAAGUUGGAAAAAAACAUUAUAAUAAUUGCCGGACCAAUGUAUGGUAUGGACAUGCAAAUACGGACUGUCAUACAGAAAACAGCCUAUAUUACAUACAUUACAUAACCUUGAUGUUCAUAUAAACCCAAUACAAAGGCUAUUUUAAUACUCAGCUAUCCAAAAAUGAAUUUUAUUGCACACUAGCUCUCAUAUUUAAAAAAUCCACAGGGGCCAAAAUGCAAAACUACACACCUAACUGUGGAGUGCUACCUUAAGUGCAGUAUUGCAAAGCAUGUAUGGAACGGAUAUGAACUCUGCGCCGGAGAUUGCAUCAACAGAACAAAUAGGGAAAUAUUUCACGCUAUUGAUGGUGACCGAACACGCUAACAGUUCUGAUUACGAAGUGAAUAAACAUUGGUACAUUAAUUGGAUGGUAACUUACAUACAAGAUAGAGAGGUAUCGGGUGGAGUAAAGCUGAAGGAAUAUGAAGGGCCACUUCAACUUAAGAAUACUUACGUUGAUCUCAGUCCUCAGAACGCUUCAGUGUACUUUCUGUUGUACAACCAUCAAGAUCCUUUAGACACAUUGUCGUUUGGGGAAAAUACCUACCCUGAACACUAAUGGGAGUUAAUGGACAAAAGAUCCUUUCAGGAAUUUAAAGUUGCAUCAACAUCAAUAACGAUUGAAGAAGAUGAAUAUGCUAGAUUCAAAUUGGGUCAACACCCAGCAAAUUCAGAAUCAAGUGUGUGUGAAGACAUCGAAGGCUAUCCAGAAAACUGCAAAGAAAAAUCAACGCUAAUCACAAUACUCAGGAAAUAG